CCCUUAGAUGUCCUGGGCCGCACGCGCGCUACACUGAUGCAUUCAACGAGUAUUUCCUUGGCCGAGAGGCCUGGGCAAUCUUUUAAACCUGCAUCGUGAUAGGGAUAGAUUAUUGCAAUUAUUAAUCUUGAACGAGGAAUUCCUAGUAAACGCAAAUCAUCAAUUUGCAUUGAUUACGUCCCUGCCCUUUGUACACACCGCCCGUCGCACCUACCGAUUGAAUGGUCCGGUGAAAUCUCGGGAUUGUGGCCAGUUCACUUUAUUGGGAGUUGGCUGCGAGAACUUGCUUAAACCUUAUCAUUUAGAGGAAGGUGAAGUUGUAACA
rnacentral:rRNA from 1 species